rnacentral:rRNA from 1 species
UGGGGGAUAUUGCACAAUGGGCGAAAGCCUGAUGCAGCGACGCCGCGUGGGGGAUGAAGGCUUUCGGGUUGUAAACCUCUUUCGCUAUCGAACAAGGCCCGCUUAGGGUGGGUUGAGGGUAGGUGGAGAAGAAGCGCCGGCUAACUACGUGCCAGCAGCCGCGGUAAUACGUAGGGCGCGAGCGUUGUCCGGAAUUAUUGGGCGUAAAGGGCUUGUAGGCGGCUUGUUGCGCCUGCUGUGAAAACGCGGGGCUUAACUUCGCGCGUGCAGUGGGUACGGGCAGGCUUGAGUGUGGUAGGGGUGACUGGAAUUCCAGGUGUGGCGGUGGAAUGCGCAGAUAUCUGGAGGAACACCGAUGGCGAAGGCAGGUCACUGGGCCAUUACUGACGCUGAGGAGCGAAAGAAUGGGUAGCGAACAGG